rnacentral:rRNA from 1 species
AGAGAGAGACAUGCGCGCAUAUCAAUAAGCGGAGGAAAAGAAACUAACUAAGGAUUCCCUCAGUAACGGCGAGUGAAGCGGGAAGAGCUCAAAUUUGAAAUCUUCAAGGGUUCUACCUUUACGAAUUGUAGUUUAAAGAAGUGUUUUCUGUUGAGGUUUUGGUAAAAGUUCUUUGGAAUAGGACAUCAUAGAGGGUGAGAAUCCCGUAUUUGACCAUUAUUUCCAGCUUUGUGAUACACUUUCAAAGAGUCGGAUUGUUUGGGAAUGCAGUCCAAAAUGGGUGGUAAAUUUCAUCUAAAGCUAAAUAUUGGCGAGAGACCGAUAGCGAACAAGUACCGUGAGGGAAAGAUGAAAAGAACUUUGAAAAGAGAGUUAAACAGUACGUGAAAUUGUCAAAAGGGAAGCGUUUGACACCAGUGUUGUUUUCUCGAAAAUCAAUUAAAAAAGGCAGGAUUUUGUGUUGUAUUGACUUUAUCAGCUUUCUGCACUCUUUUCUUGUCUUUUUUAAUGCACUUUUCGUUUAACAAGUCAACAUCAAUUUCUUUUGUUGUAAAAGGGUCAUUGGAAGGUGGCUUUCUUUUCGGAGAAAGUGUUUAUAGCCUUUGGCCUCUGCAAUCGGAGAGAUUGAGGUCUGCAGCGUAGAUCCUUCGGGGUUAGAUACAUUUGUGCUAAGUUAUAGCCUUUCAUAGACAACUUGUUGACUAUGAUCAGUCAUGUAGCUUACUCGCUUAUGCUAUUUUACCUACGCUUAGGAUGUUGAUGUGAUACUGCGAGCA